AGAGUUUGAUCCUGGCUCAGAUUGAACGCUGGCGGCAUGCUUUACACAUGCAAGUCGAACGGCAGCGCGGGCUUCGGCCUGGCGGCGAGUGGCGAACGGGUGAGUAAUACAUCGGAACGUGCCCAGUAGUGGGGGAUAGCUCGGCGAAAGCCGGAUUAAUACCGCAUACGACCUGAGGGUGAAAGCGGGGGAUCUUCGGACCUCGCGCUAUUGGAGCGGCCGAUGACAGAUUAGCUAGUUGGUGGGGUAAAGGCCUACCAAGGCGACGAUCUGUAGCUGGUCUGAGAGGACGACCAGCCACACUGGGACUGAGACACGGCCCAGACUCCUACGGGAGGCAGCAGUGGGGAAUUUUGGACAAUGGGCGAAAGCCUGAUCCAGCAAUGCCGCGUGUGUGAUGAAGGCCUUCGGGUUGUAAAGCACUUUUGGCGGGAACGAAAAGGACCGUGCCAAUACCAUGGUCUGAUGACGGUACCCGCAGAAUAAGCACC
rnacentral:rRNA from 1 species